AACGAACGCUGGCGGCAUGCCUAACACAUGCAAGUCGAACGAGACCUUCGGGUCUAGUGGCGCCCGGUUGCGUAACGCGUGGGAACCUGCCCUUAGGUUCGGCAUAACUCCCCGACAGGGGUGCUAAUACCGGAUAAUGUCUUCGGCCCAAAGAUUUUUCGCCUUUGGAUGGGCCCGCGUUGGAUUAGCUCGUUGGUAGGGUAAAAGCCUACCAAGGCGAGGAUCCAUAGCUGGUCUGAGAGGAUGAUCAGCCACACUGGGACUGAGACACGGCCCAGACUCCUACGGGAGGCAGCAGUGGGGAAUAUUGGACAAUGGGCGAAAGCCUGAUCCAGCAAUGCCGCGUGAGUGAUGAAGGCCUUAGGGUUGUAAAGCUCUUUUAACCGGGAUGAUAAUGACAGUACCGGGAGAAUAAGCUCCGGCUAACUCCGUG
rnacentral:rRNA from 1 species